rnacentral:rRNA from 1 species
UACGUAGGAUCCAAGCGUUGUCCGGAUUUACUGGGUGUAAAGGGUGCGCAGGCGGACUUAUAAGUCAGGGGUGAAAUCUUACUGCUCAACAGUGAAACUGCCUUUGAUACUGUAGGUCUUGAAUUGAGGGAGAGAGUCGUGGAAUUCCGAGUGUAGCAGUGAAAUGUGUAGAUAUUCGGAAGAACACCAGCGGCGAAAGGC